CCAGCUGGCAGGAGCAAUCCUUUCCAUGAGAAAUGCCCAGUAUCCCGUCCCCCAUCCCAAACCUCAUGAACAUGACUCCCUUAUCAUCUGGCUUCAGAAGGACCUGCAUUUUAUUCUGAUGCAGGGAGCCUUUCCAAUCAGUGGACCCAGAUAUUUUCAGUUAACUUUAAGACAUAGGGUUAUAUCUAGGAUUCAGUGCCUACACUACAAAAUCCACUGCUCCUGUGGCCAUUUUUUUCCCUAUAGGACAGAGAGAAACUGAGAGGGGAGGGGAAAAUAGAGAGGGAGAAAGAUACCUGUAGAUGUGCUUCACCACUUAUGAGGUGACUCUCCUGCAGAUGGGUAGCCGGGGGCUCCAACUGGGAUCUUUGUGCGGGUUCUUAAGCAUUGUACUAUGUGCGUGUAACCCAGUGCACCACUGCACGGCCCCCAAAUAAAUAAAAUUUAAAAAAGAAAGAA